rnacentral:rRNA from 1 species
CCUACGGGUGGCAGCAGUGAGGAAUAUUGGUCAAUGGGCGCGAGCCUGAACCAGCCAAGUCGCGUGAAGGACGACGGUCCUAUGGAUUGUACACCUCUUUUGUCGGGGAGCAAAAGACGCCACGCGUGGCGUUCCGUGAGUACCCUAUGAAUAAGCAUCGGCUAACUCCGUGCCAGCAGCCGCGGUAAUACGGAGGAUGCGAGCGUUAUCCGGAUUUAUUGGGUUUAAAGGGUGCGCAGGCGGAAGCUCAAGUCAGCGGUAAAAUUGAGAGGCUCAACCUCUUCGAGCCGUUGAAACUGGUUUUGUUGAGUGAAUGAGAGGUAUGCGGAAUUCGUGGUGUAGCGGUGAAAUGCUUAGAUAUCACGAAGAACUCCGAUUGCGAAGGCAGCAUACCGGCGCUCAACUGACACUCAUGCACGAAAGUGUGGGUAUCGAACAGGAUUAGAUACCCGAGUAGUC